GACGAACGCUGGCGGCGUGCUUAACACAUGCAAGUCGAACGGAAAGGCCCUGCUUUUGUGGGGUGCUCGAGUGGCGAACGGGUGAGUAACACGUGAGUAACCUGCCCUUGACUUUGGGAUAACUUCAGGAAACUGGGGCUAAUACCGGAUAGGAGCUCCUGCUGCAUGGUGGGGGUUGGAAAGUUUCGGCGGUUGGGGAUGGACUCGCGGCUUAUCAGCUUGUUGGUGGGGUAGUGGCUUACCAAGGCUUUGACGGGUAGCCGGCCUGAGAGGGUGACCGGCCACAUUGGGACUGGGAUACGGCCCAGAGUCCUACGGGAGGCAGCAGUGGGGAAUAUUGCACAAUGGGCGGAAGCCUGAUGCAGCAACGCCGCGUGCGGGAUGACGGCCUUCGGGUUGUAAACCGCUUUCGCCUGUGACGAAGCGUGAGUGACGGUAAUGGGUAAAGAAGCACCGGCUAACUACGUG
rnacentral:rRNA from 1 species